CGAGGCGGAGCAAAUCUCAAAAGCCGAUCCCAGUUCGGAUUGCAGGCUGCAACUCGCCUGCAUGAAGUUGGAGUUGCUAGUAAUCGCGGAUCAGAAUGCCGCGGUGAAUGCGUUCCCGGGUCUUGUACACACCGCCCGUCACACCACGGAAGUUGGGGGUGCCCAAAGUUGGCGGGAUAAUAUGUUACCUAAGGCAAAACCGAUGACUGGGGUGAAGUCGUAACAAGGUAUC
rnacentral:rRNA from 1 species